UAUUAAAAUUUGGGGAGCUUCGGCUGAGAGAGGCUGAGAGGAUGCUAGAGCAUCGACCCAUUGAACCUGACCCGGGUAAUUCCGGCGUAGGGAAAAUAAGAUGAACUGUA
rnacentral:ncRNA from 2 species